rnacentral:misc_RNA from 1 species
UCUGGGAAACACAUGCUUCAUGAAUAGUGCACUUCAGUGUCUGGUUCAUACACCUCCGCUCGUCGAAUACUUCUUGCAAGAUUACACUGAUGAGAUUAACAGACAGAAUCCUUUGGGGAUGCAUGGUGAGCUUGCACUUGCAUUUGGUGAACUAUUGAGGAAACUAUGGUCCUCUGGUCGAACACCCGUGGCACCCCGUGCAUUCAAGGGAAAACUUGGUCGAUUUGCUCCCCAGUUUAGCGGAUAUAACCAGCAUGACUCUCAGGAACUACUCGCCUUCCUCUUGGAUGGAUUACAUGAAGAUUUAAAUCGCGUCAAGCAAAAGCCGUAUUUUGAGACAAAGGACUCAGACGGUCGUCCAGAUGAAGAAGUUGCUAACGAGCUUUGGAGAUACCACAGAGCCAGAAAUGACUCUGUUAUAGUUGAUAUUUGCCAGGGCCAAUAUAAGUCUACGCUGGUUUGCCCUGACUGCAAAAAAAUCUCCAUAACGUUUGAUCCCUUCAUGUAUUUGUCUCUACCACUUCCUUCAACCGUCACAAAGACAAUGACAGUAACAGUGUUUUAUAGUGAUGGCAGUGGCCUUCCAAUGCCAUAUACUGUUACCGUCUUAAAACAUGGUUAUAUUAAAGAUCUUGCACAGGCUUUAGAAAAUGCAUGCUGCUUAAGGAUUGAUGAAUACCUGCUACUUGCAGAGGUCUAUGAUCAUCGGGUAUUUCGAUACUUUGAGAACCCUACAGAGAUUUUGAAUUCAGUUAAGGAUGAUGAACAUAUUGUUGCAUACAGGCUCCCGAAAAGGGGGGCACAACUGACAAGACUGGAGAUUAGUCACAGGUACCGGGAAAAGUGUAUCAUAGACAGUUCGAAGGCCAGUGAGAGGAAGUUGUUCUUGACACCCCUUGUUACUUUCUUGGAAGACCCACAUAACGGAGCUGAUAUUGAUUUUGCUGUCCAUAAGGUACUUGCUCCAUUAAGAAGGAAAUCAUUUAUCUCAUCAGCACCUGGUCUUAAGGAUGGUUCCGACAAUGGUUCUCCCUCGGAAACAAUUGAAGUACCAAUGAACAGCUGCACUAUCCAAUUUGGUUGUGAAGGUCAAUCAACAGAGUGCAUAGAUCCAGUGGGGAAUUCCAGCAUGGAGCUGACAUUUCAUCUUUGUUUAACUGAUGAACGGGGUACUAACUGCAGGCCCGUUGCAAAAGAUACGGUGAUUGAACCAGUUAGAAUGCAAAAGGUUAUAUUGGAUUGGACUGAGAAGGAAUAUGAGCUAUAUGAUGCGAGCUACCUCAAAGACCUUCCAGAGGUUCACAAAAGUGGACUUACAGUGAAGAAAACCAAGCAAGAAGCUAUAUCCUUAUUUUCGUGUUUGGAGGCCUUCCUAAAGGAGGAACCUUUAGGACCAGAUGAUAUGUGGUACUGUCCUCGCUGCAAGGAGCAUAGACAAGCCUCCAAGAAGUUAGAUCUAUGGAGAUUACCGGACAUACUUGUUUUCCACUUAAAGCGGUUCUCUUAUAGCCGAUGGCUGAAGAACAAGCUUGAUACGUUUGUGAAUUUUCCCAUACAUAAUCUGGAUUUAAGCAAGUAUGUGAAAAGUACGGAUUUAUCUGAGAGCUCCCAUGUGUAUGAGCUAUAUGCAAUAAGCAACCAUUAUGGUGGACUAGGUGGUGGGCAUUACACAGCUUACUGUAAGUUGAUUGAUGACGACAGAUGGUAUCAUUUUGAUGAUUCCCAUGUUUCACCUGUUGCUGAAUCGGAUAUCAAAACAUCAGCUGCCUACGUGUUGUUCUAUCGAAGAGUUAAAGCUCAACAAGAUGGAGUUGUGGGAGGGUCCUAUCAGUGCCAUAGAAGCUCUUGAAAAUGCUCGACUGGUAUCUCUUAUCCCCACUUGAUAAGGUCUGAAUUCUUGGCUGUCCGGCAGGGGGCUAACGUGGUUGGGGCUCAUCUUAUCCCUAGGUAAAUUAGAAGUAGGUGCUCUAUCAGUAAGAGGCGCACCAAGAGGAAAACAGAAAUUGGAUGAGGCUCUAGUGUCUUUUUUUAAGAGAAAUUUUGUAAGUCUUGGGUAUCCGUAUUAGGCAUUAUACUCUUGUAGAGUAGUAGUGUUCUUAUCAUUUUUUAGUGAAGAAGUUGUACUCAAGGACCAGGCCUUCUUUUUUUAAAUCUAAUUACAUAUAGCAGCAUGAGAGUUUGAUGAAGAAGUUUUUACUACG